AAGCCCCCGGCUCAACCGGGGAGGGUCAUGGGAAACUGGGAGACUUGAGUGCAGAAGAGGAGAGUGGAAUUCCAUGUGUAGCGGUGAAAUGCGUAGAUAUAUGGAGGAACACCAGUGGCGAAGGCGGCUCUCUGGUCUGUAACUGACGCUGAGGCUCGAAAGCGAGGGGAGCAAACAGGAUAAGAUACCCUGGUAGUCCACGCCGUAAACGAUGAGUGCAAAGUGUAGGAGGUUUACCGCC
rnacentral:rRNA from 1 species